rnacentral:tRNA from 1 species
GGUUUGUGGCUCAGUGGUAGAGCACUCGCCUAGCACAUGUGAGGCCCUGGGUUCGAUUCUCAGCACCA